rnacentral:rRNA from 1 species
CGAUUGGAUUGCACGUCUAAGCAGUAAGGCUGAGUAUUAGGCAAAUCCGGUACUCGUUAAGGCUGAGCUGUGAUGGGGAGAAGACAUUGUGUCUUCGAGUCGUUGAUUUCACACUGCCGAGAAAAGCCUCUAGAUAGAAAAUAGGUGCCCGUACCGCAAACCGACACAGGUAGUCAAGAUGAGAAUUCUAAGGUGAGCGAGCGAACUCUCGUUAAGGAACUCGGCAAAAUGACCCCGUAACUUCGGGAGAAGGGGUGCUCUUUAGGGUUAACGCCCAGAAGAGCCGCAGUGAAUAGGCCCAAGCGACUGUUUAUCAAAAACACAGGUCUCUGCUAAACCGUAAGGUGAUGUAUAGG